CUGAAGAUUCUCUCCUCUUCCCCUCUUUUUUUUCACAUGCAUCUCUCAUCUGUCUCACCUGGAGCUGCCAGCUCACGUUCAAUUUCCCACCAGUCCAGUUGUGUUAAGGAAUCAGUGGCUUGAUCAGCUUCAUUUUAGAAGCUUUCUGAGAUGGUGGGGUGUUUUUCCUUCUUUCCCAUGCUUUUGGAACCCUGCCAAAGCAAAUGAAGUUUGGGCCUUAGAUGCAAAGAAUUGCAGCCAUCAUCCUGAGGAGCUCAUGGCAUGCACCUGUUCAUGGUCUCUCACUUGGGAUUAAGCCAGAAGAUUCCAUUGGACCUCUGACCUCUUUCCUGCCCACCUGGAGGAAUUUGAGGGGUCCCAGAGCAGAGCAGAUCUAGGAUGCUUCUGAAGACCGACAUAGCUUCAUCAGGAGGAGCUGGUGAGCUGUGCUUGUUAUCAAAGCCUCUAGGGAGUUCGUUGUCUCUUGUGUCGGGGGACUGCUGAGGGCUGUGUGUGUGUGUGUGUGUGUGUGUGUGUGUGUGUGUGUAUCAUAAGUGUGCACAUGGUGGUUUUGAUGACAAAUAGGGAGUUUUGAAGAAACCCCUGGGCAAACAGAGAACCAUCUCAAUCAGCCUGAUGGCAAGGUU
rnacentral:lncRNA from 1 species